rnacentral:lncRNA from 10 species
AGUAACUGAACAGCUACACCAGAUAUAGAAUCCUGCCUAGUACUCCUGUCUCUCAGGCAGGACCGUAAAACACUGCAAACAGGAGGAAGCAGGAAGAAGUCACCCAUGAAGUCCUUGCCCCUGAUAAAAAACAAAACUCAUCCGGCCUCUGAAGUCAUAAUAGUUCUUGCAGCUUGGAGUGUGCCGCCAUCCUCCCCAAACACAUCUCGACUCUGAAAGUGACCCUAUGAAGGCUAUGACUGCUAAGCAGCAGGCAGAACAGCACGUUACUGUGAUGCAAGGUGUGAAAGCUGCUGAUGUUUACAGGAAACAGAUUGGAACAAGAUAUCAGCACAGACUGAGCAACCAUGGAGAAGAUUGUAUGCUGAGAUGGAAGACCCAAAAGAUUGAAGCAGCCUGGAUAACUCGGGUACCACACAGAGGACAACUGCCCUAGAGAGUUGCCUUGACCCGCAAAAGACAUUGCCUGAGAUGAAAAUAAACUUUUAUUGUGUUAAACCUUUG